rnacentral:rRNA from 1 species
UACAGAGGUCCCAAGCGUUGUUCGGAUUCACUGGGCGUAAAGGGUGCGUAGGUGGUCGCGUAAGUCCGAUGUGAAAUCCCGGAGCUCAACUCUGGAACUGCAUUGGAUACUAUACGACUAGAGGGUUGGAGGGGGGACUGGAAUUCUCGGUGUAGCAGUGAAAUGCGUAGAUAUCGAGAGGAACACCGGUGGCGAAGGCGAGUCCCUGGACAACUCCUGACGCUGAGGCACGAAAGCUAGGGGAGCAAACAGG